rnacentral:rRNA from 1 species
UACAGAGGGUGCGAGCGUUAAUCGGAAUUACUGGGCGUAAAGCGCGCGUAGGCGGCUUUGCAAGCCGGAUGUGAAAUCCCCGGGCUUAACCUGGGAACUGCAUUCGGGACUGCAUUGCUAGAGUAUGGGAGAGGGAAGUGGAAUUUCAGGUGUAGCGGUGAAAUGCGCAGAUAUCAGGAGGAACACCGGUGGCGAAGGCGGGUCUCUGGGCCGAUACUGACGCUGAGGAGCGAAAGCGUGGGGAGCGAACAGG